rnacentral:rRNA from 1 species
UACAGAGGGGGCAAGCGUUAUUUCGGAAUUAUUGGGCGUAAAGGGCGCGUAGGCGGCCUGGCAAGUGGAAGGUGAAAUCCCUCGGCUUAACCGAGGAACUGCCCUCCAAACUGCUUGGCUUGAGACCGGGAGAGGUGAGUGGAAUUCCCAGUGUAGCGGUGAAAUGCGUAGAUAUUGGGAGGAACACCAGUGGCGAAGGCGGCUCACUGGACCGGUACUGACGCUGAGGCGCGAAAGCGUGGGAGCAACGGG